rnacentral:rRNA from 1 species
AACGAACGCUGGCGGCGUGCCUAACACAUGCAAGUCGUGCGAGAAAGUUCCUUCGGGAGCGAGUAAAGCGGCGCACGGGUGAGUAACACGUAGGUAACCUGCCCCCCAGUCUGGAACAACUAGAGGAAACUCUAGCUAAUGCCGGAUGAGACCACGAUCCCUUCGGGGGUUGCGGCCAAAGAUGGCCUCUACUUGUAAGCUAUCGCUGAGGGAUGGGCCUGCGGGCCAUUAGCUUGUUGGUGAGGUAACGGCUCACCAAGGCUGUGAUGGCUAGCUGGUCUGAGAGGAUGACCAGCCACACUGGGACUGAGACACGGCCCAGACUCCUACGGGAGCAGCAGUGGGAAUAUUGCGCAAUGGGCGAAAGCCUGACGCAGCGACGCCGCGUGGGGUGAUGAAGGCC